rnacentral:rRNA from 1 species
AAAAAGGUCAAUUCCCUAUCAGACUUCCAAGAAAAGCUCGAACUACUGUAAAACAUAAAGUACCUGUACCGUAAACCGACACAGGUGGGUUGGUAGAGUAUACCAAGGGGCGCGAGAUAACUCUCUCUAAGGAACUCGGCAAAAUGACCCCGUAACUUCGGGAGAAGGGGUGCCAAGUAACUUAAAUUGCUUGGUCGCAGUGACCAGGCCCUGGCGACUGUUUAUCAAAAACACAGGUCUCCGCAAAGUCGUAAGACAACAUAUGGGGGCUGACGCCUGCCCAGUGCCGGAAGGUUAAAGGAGUUGGUUAUUCAUUUAUGGAGAAGCUGACGACUGAAGCCCCGGUGAACGGCGGCCGUAACAAUAACGGUCCUAAGGUAGCGAAAUUCCUUGUCGGGUAAGUUCCGACCCGCACGAAAGGCGUAACGAUCAGGGCACUGUCUCGGAGAGAGACUCGGUGAAAUAGACAUGUCUGUGAAGAUGCGGACUACCUGCACCUGGACAGAAAGACCCUAUGAAGCUUGACUGUAGCUUGGAAUUGGGUUCGGGCUCUUCUUGCGCAGCCUAGGUGGGAGGCAUUGAAAAUUUUCUUUCGGGAAAAUUGGAGCCAACAGUGAGAGACCACUCUGGAGGAGCUAGAAUUCUAAUGGCGUUCCUUGAAGCAGGACGCUUGACAGUCUCAGGUGGGCAGUUUGACUGGGGCGGUCACCUCCUAAAAUGUAACGGAGGUGUGCAAAGGUUCCCUCAGGCUGGACGGAAAUCAGCCGUAGAGUGUAAAGGCAGAAGGGAGCUUGACUGCAAGACCUACAAGUCGAGCAGGGGCGAAAGCCGGCCUUAGUGAUCCGACGGUUCCAUGUGGAAGGGCCGUCGCUCAACGGAUAAAAGUUACUCUAGGAUAACAGGCUGAUCUUCCCCAAGAGUUCACAUCGACGGGAAGGUUUGGCACCUCGAUGUCGGCUCAUCGCAACCUGGGGCGGUAGUACGUCCCAAGGGUUGGGCUGUUCGCCCAUGAAAGCGGUACGUGAGCUGGGUUCAGAACAUCGUGAGACAGUUCGGUCCAUAUCCGGUGUAGGCGUUAGAGCAUUGAGAGGAGUCUUCCAUAGUACGAGAGGACCUGGAAGAACACACCUCUGGUAUACCAGUUAUCAUGCCAAUGGUACACGCUGGGUAGCCAUGUGUGGAGUGGAUAACCGCUGAAAGCAUCUAAGUGGGAAGCCCACCUCAAGAUGAGUGCUCUCCAUUAGGUCACAGGAAGACAACCUGUUUGAUAGGCAGAAAGUGUAAGGCUAGUAAUAGUUUCAGCUGAUCUGUACUAAUAGACCGAUUGAUUUU